rnacentral:rRNA from 1 species
UGUAAACGAUGUCGAUUUGGAGUUUGUUGCCUAGAGUGAUGGGCUCCGAGGCUAACGCGAUAAAUCGACCGCUGGGGAGUACGGCCGCAAGGUUAAAACUCAAAUGAAUUGACGGGGGCCCGCACAAGCGGUGGAGCAUGUGGUUUAGUUCGAUGCAACGCGAAGAACCUUACCUGGUCUUGACAUCCAUAGAAUUCUGCAGAGAUGUGGGAGUGCCUUCGGGAACUAUGAGACAGGUGCUGCAUGGCUGUCGUCAGCUCGUGUUGUGAAAUGUUGGGUUAAGUCCCGCAACGGGCGCAACCCUUAUUCUUUGUUGCCAGCGAUUUGGUCGGGAACUCAAAGGAGACUGCCGUUGAUAAAGCGGAGGAAGGUGGGGACGACGUCAAGUCAUCAUGGCCCUUACGACCAGGGCUACACACGUGCUACAAUGGCGUAUACAAAGGGAAGCGAAGGUGCGAGCUGGAGCGGAUCUCAUAAAGUACGUCUAAGUUCGGAUUGGAGUCUGCAACUCGACUCCAUGAAGUCGGAAUCGCUAGUAAUCGUAGAUCAGAAUGCUACGGUGAAUGCGUUCCCGGGCCUUGUACACACCGCCCGUCACACCAUGGGAGUGGGUUGCACCAGAAGUAGAUAGCUUAACCGCGAGGGGGGCGUUUACCACGGUGUGAUUCAUGACUGGGGUGAAGUCGUAACAAGGUAACCA